CUCAAUACGCCAAACCGUUGCGGAGUUAUAGCCUCACAAGCAUUUUUGCGUGCUUUUCGUAGAAUUUGUUCGCGUGGUAUUCGAGAACGGUUGGACAAAUCAACUUGAAUUCCAUAACUUUUUGCCGGCAUCGUCUGAAGAUGAUCUGAGCCAAUUUUCGUGAAAAUCGGACUAACCGUCUAGGACGAGUUCGUAAAAGUAGGUUUUUCGAACAAUUGAAAAUAUCGAAAAAAACUAAACCUUGCGAUUUUUGAAUUUCAGGGUUCAUUCGACUUGGCCUGAGCCAAGGAUUCAGAGGAAAAAAUAAUUUUCAUUUUGUGGCUUACGGUUCAAAAGUUAUUAGCAUAAAAAUAUUGAAA
ensembl:lncRNA